rnacentral:sRNA from 1 species
UGUGGUUGUCGAAUGACGACCAGGAAAAAUCCUAAACUUUUUCAUAAUAAUCUCCCAUAGAAGUCACCGAAUACGGUGGCUUUUUC